AUGAACGCUAGCUACAGGCUUAACACAUGCAAGUCGAGGGGCAGCAUGGUCUUAGCUUGCUAAGACUGAUGGCGACCGGCGCACGGGUGAGUAACACGUAUCCAACCUGCCGUCUACUCUUGGACAGCCUUCUGAAAGGAAGAUUAAUACAAGAUGGCAUCAUGAGUCCGCAUGUUCACAUGAUUAAAGGUAUUCCGGUAGACGAUGGGGAUGCGUUCCAUUAGAUAGUAGGCGGGGUAACGGCCCACCUAGUCUUCGAUGGAUAGGGGUUCUGAGAGGAAGGUCCCCCACAUUGGAACUGAGACACGGUCCAAACUCCUACGGGAGGCAGCAGUGAGGAAUAUUGGUCAAUGGGCGAGAGCCUGAACCAGCCAAGUAGCGUGAAGGAUGACUGCCCUAUGGGUUGUAAACUUCUUUUAUAAAGGAAUAAAGUCGGGUAUGCAUACCCGUUUGCAUGUACUUUAUGAAUAAGGAUCGGCUAACUCCGUGCCAGCAGCCGCGGUAAUACGGAGGAUCCGAGCGUUAUCCGGAUUUAUUGGGUUUAAAGGGAGCGUAGAUGGAUGUUUAAGUCAGUUGUGAAAGUUUGCGGCUCAACCGUAAAAUUGCAGUUGAUACUGGAUAUCUUGAGUGCAGUUGAGGCAGGCGGAAUUCGUGGUGUAGCGGUGAAAUGCUUAGAUAUCACGAAGAACUCCGAUUGCGAAGGCAGCCUGCUAAGCUGCAACUGACAUUGAGGCUCGAAAGUGUGGGUAUCAAACAGGAUUAGAUACCCUGGUAGUCCACACGGUAAACGAUGAAUACUCGCUGUUUGCGAUAUACGGCAAGCGGCCAAGCGAAAGCGUUAAGUAUUCCACCUGGGGAGUACGCCGGCAACGGUGAAACUCAAAGGAAUUGACGGGGGCCCGCACAAGCGGAGGAACAUGUGGUUUAAUUCGAUGAUACGCGAGGAACCUUACCCGGGCUUAAAUUGCAGAUGAAUUACGGUGAAAGCCGUAAGCCGCAAGGCAUCUGUGAAGGUGCUGCAUGGUUGUCGUCAGCUCGUGCCGUGAGGUGUCGGGUUAAGUCCCAUAACGAGCGCAACCCCUACCGUUAGUUGCCAUCAGGUCAAGCUGGGCACUCUGGCGGGACUGCCGGUGUAAGCCGAGAGGAAGGUGGGGAUGACGUCAAAUCAGCACGGCCCUUACGUCCGGGGCUACACACGUGUUACAAUGGGGGGUACAGAGGGCCGCUACCACGCGAGUGGAUGCCAAUCCCAAAAACCUCUCUCAGUUCGGACUGGAGUCUGCAACCCGACUCCACGAAGCUGGAUUCGCUAGUAAUCGCGCAUCAGCCACGGCGCGGUGAAUACGUUCCCGGGCCUUGUACACACCGCCCGUCAAGCCAUGGGAGCCGGGGGUACCUGAAGUGCGUAACCGCGAGGAGCGCCCUAGGGUAAAACUGGUGACUGGGGCU
rnacentral:rRNA from 1 species